GGCUUGAUGGUCUAGUAGUAUGAUACUCCCUUCGGGUUUUCCCGGUUACCUAUGUAACCACGAUUGGGAGUGGUCCCGGGUUCAAUUCCCGGUCAGGCCC